AUCCAGCUGACGAGUCCAAAAUAGGACGAAACGCAUGUCAAGCUGGAU
rfam:Schistosoma margrebowiei strain Zambia genome assembly, scaffold: SMRZ_scaffold0002851